GGGGAAUCUUCCGCAAUGGGCGAAAGCCUGACGGAGCAAUACCGCGUGAGGGAGGAAGGUUCUUGGAUCGUAAACCUCAAAACUUAGGGAAGAAACAAAUGACGGUACCUAAUAUAAGCAUCGGCUAACUCCGUGCCAGCAGCCGCGGUAAUACGGAGGAUGCAAGCGUUAUCCGGAAUCAUUGGGCGUAAAGAGUCUGUAGGUGGCACUUCAAGUCUGCUGUCAAAGACCGAAGCUUAACUUCGGAAAGGCGGUGGAAACUGAAGAGCUAGAGUAAAGCAGGGGUAGAGGGAAUUCCCAGUGUAGCGGUGAAAUGCGUAGAGAUUGGGAAGAACACCAGUGGCGAAGGCGCUCUGCUGGGCUUUAACUGACACUGAGAGACGAAAGCUAGGGUAGCGAAAGGGAUUAGAUACCCCUGUAGUCA
rnacentral:rRNA from 1 species